rnacentral:lncRNA from 1 species
UUGAUACUGCUGAGUUCCACAUAUUUAGGAAGAUCUCAGUGUUUCUGAGACAGGGUCUCACUAUGUAGUUGAGACUGACCUGGAACUCACUGUGUAGCUCAGACUGGUCACUGAUCCUCCUGCCUCAGCCUCCCAAGUGCUGGGAGUACAGGCAUGCUCCACCACAUCCGGCUGAGAAGAUCUCAGUUUUGACGAAAAGUACUGUAUAUGAAUAUUUCACAUGCUUUGGGGUGUUCGACGCAUGCAUUUCUUCGUGUACCUUCAUGUUUGCUGACUUCAGAUCAUGAAUCGUGAGACCGCGGUGAUUUUGCCAGAUACCUGCCUGUGUGCCGGAGUCCCUGUUCCCAGUAAGUCCCUGGGGCUGCUCGGCUG